rnacentral:rRNA from 1 species
UACGAAGGGGCUAGCGUUGCUCGGAAUCACUGGGCGUAAAGGGUGCGUAGGCGGGUCUUUAAGUCAGAGGUGAAAUCCUGGAGCUCAACUCCAGAACUGCCUUUGAUACUGAAAGUCUUGAGUAUGGGAGAGGUGAGUGGAACUGCGAGUGUAGAGGUGAAAUUCGUAGAUAUUCGCAAGAACACCAGUGGCGAAGGCGGCUCACUAGCCCAUAACUGACGCUGAGGCACGAAAGCGUGGGGAGCAAACAGG